rnacentral:lncRNA from 1 species
AAACACACAAGUGUAUGUGCUAAAGUAAAGAUAGAGUUAUAAGCACAGUCAAUCGCAAACACAAAGAUUUAUAGUGGUUCGGAGCUUCCACUGCUCCUACAUCCACUCCCCAAACACCUUUGGGAAUUUCCACUAUAAUCAGCGAUUACAGUCCGGUAGUUUUGCGAGUACACUACCCAACUCGUUGUUUUACCCCGGGCUAACAACGAACCCUACAAUCCCCCA